ACCUGAUCAGCCAUGCCGCGUGAGUGAAGAAGGCCUUCGGGUUGUAAAGCUCUUUCAGAUGCGAAGAUGAUGACGGUAACAUCAGAAGAAGCCCCGGCUAAUUUCGUGCCAGCAGCCGCGGUAAUACGAAAGGGGCUAGCGUUGUUCGGAUUUACUGGGCGUAAAGGGCACGCAGGCGGUCUUGCCAGUCAGGGGUGAAAGCCCGAGGCUCAACCUCGGAACUGCCUCUGAUACUGUAAGACUUGAGACUAGGAGAGGGUGGUGGAAUUCCCAGUGUAGAGGUGAAAUUCGUAGAUAUUGGGAGGAACACCAGAGGCGAAGGCGGCCACCUGGACUAGAUCUGACGCUCAGGUGCGAAAGCGUGGGGAGCAAACAGGAUUAGAUACCCUGGUAGUCCACGCCGUAAACGAUGAGUGCUAGUUGUCGGGACUUCGGUUUCGGUGACGCAGCUAACGCAUUAAGCACUCCGCCUGGGGAGUACGGUCGCAAGAUUAAAACUCA
rnacentral:rRNA from 1 species